rnacentral:tRNA from 1 species
UAAAUGAAAGCCAAAUAGAGGUACCUAUCUGUUAAUUAGGAGAUUGUAAAUUAUUAAUUACUCAUUUAG